rnacentral:rRNA from 1 species
CCUACGGGUGGCAGCAGUGGGGAAUAUUGGACAAUGGGCGAAAGCCUGAUCCAGCCAUGCCGCGUGUGUGAAGAAGGCCUUCGGGUUGUAAAGCACUUUCAGUGGGGAAGAAAGCCUUGGGGCUAAUACCCUCGAGGAAGGACAUCACCCACAGAAGAAGCACCGGCUAACUCCGUGCCAGCAGCCGCGGUAAUACGGAGGGUGCGAGCGUUAAUCGGAAUUACUGGGCGUAAAGCGCGCGUAGGCGGUCUGAUAAGCCGGUUGUGAAAGCCCCGGGCUCAACCUGGGAACGGCAUCCGGAACUGUCAGGCUAGAGUGCAGGAGAGGAAGGUAGAAUUCCCGGUGUAGCGGUGAAAUGCGUAGAGAUCGGGAGGAAUACCAGUGGCGAAGGCGGCCCUAUGGACUGACACUGACGCUGAGGUGCGAAAGCGUGGGUAGCAAACAGGAUUAGAUACCCCAGUAGUC